AUGAGAGUCAGAGCAGAACAAAUAGCCUUCCUAAUGCUAAAGUUAGAAAUACAAUGUGUUUUUCACAUUAAAUAUAUAUAUAUAUGUAUUUUUCCUCAUCUCUUUUUAGCAAAGUGGAGACCAUCAGUGGAGCCAAGAGAGGACCUGGGUGAGGGGGAAUUGGAUUUUGCAGUUGCCGGGCCCUCAUGCUUUUUGAUGCCAAGAAAAGCAACCCAGCUGAACAAAUCAGGAACAUGCCCCCAAAGCUGCAGGGUUCCCCACGGAGACAACCUUUACGCCGCUGAAGUCAGAGGUCGUCCGUUCCAGAGGGAAACAGUGGCGACACCCCAGUGCCUGAGGAGACAGAGGCGGUCAGUAGACUAAUGGGGUCUGACUUCAUCAUUAAGAAGGCCACCUCCACAAGAGGGCAGACUGUUGGAGGUGAUUUCUGUUGAAGAUGUCUAUGUGUGCCAGCGUUCGCAGGUAUGUAUGUGAGUGUGUAUGGCACUUUCAUCCUUAUAACAUGCCCCACACAGAGCAUUUGCUGAGGUUGGCAGUUUGUCAGUGCCAUUGCUUAAGGCUCUGUAGCACCCAACGUAGAACUAUUAAAAAUAACGAGCUUUCCCUCACCAUGGCAACCAAAUAACUCCUCAUCAUAGCAGAGCACACAAUAGUUUUUACAAGAGCUUUUAAUUUCAAACCCAUCCAGUGAAAAUUCCCAUUGGAAAGCACCUUGGCAUUUUCAUAUGCAAAACAUUAUGUUACAAUUGUAGAUGAUACAUGAAAAGAGCAUCAAGAGACUGUGGUUAUGAAAUGAAGGGGAAAAAACAGCACGGCUAAAAUCAUGUGAGCUCAAUUGAUUGUGUGUUUAUUUCAGUUGGCCGAGUCCCCCUCUGAAAUGUUAAAACACUGGAAACAUUGCCUCCAACAAUUGCUGUCGAUCUCUGUUGCCUGUCAGUUGUUGAUAAUUUAGCUAGUGGUUUCCACAGAUCAAUAUGUUUGCCCUGCGGAGUGACACCAAACAGAUUUGUGUACCAUGUUCCUGCCAUCGUAGAGAAAAUUUAGGACACUGGGAUGUAGGAGUGAAUCUCAUAUUACAGCCCAAAAUCAAAAGGAAGAAUUACAAAAUUAUAUUUUGCGGAAGUAAUGGGUAUAUAUAUUUGCAAUUAUUAUUAAAAUUAUUUUUUUCUUAUGCUCACCAAGGCUGAAUUUAUUUGAUUAGAAAUAUAAUAAAAACAGAAAUAUUGUAAAAUAUUAUUUCA
ensembl:lncRNA